rnacentral:tRNA from 1 species
GCGGGAGUGCUGGAAUUGGCAGACAGGCAUGACUAAGGAUCAUGUGCUCGUAGGGCGUGCGGGUUCAAGUCCCGCCUUCCGCA